AACGAACGCUGGCGGCAGGCUUAACACAUGCAAGUCGAACGCUCGACCUUCGGGUCGGGAGUGGCAGACGGGUGAGUAACGCGUGGGAACGUACCCUUCGGUUCGGGAUAACCCACGGGAAACUUGGGCUAAUACCGGAUACGUCCUGGCCUGGAGACAGGGUGGGAGAAAGGUUUACUGCCGAAGGAUCGGCCCGCGUCGGAUUAGCUAGUUGGGUGGGGUAACGGCCCGACCAAGGCGACGAUCCGUAGCUGGUCUGAGAGGAUGAUCAGCCACAC
rnacentral:rRNA from 1 species